UACGAACUGUGCGAACGUUAUUCGGAAUCACUGGGCUUAAAGGGUGCGUAGGUGGUUUUCUAAGUCAUGUGUGAAAUCUUCUGGCUCGACCAGAAAACUGCGCGUGAUACUGGAGAACUUGAGUGAGGUAGGGGUGUGUGGAACUUCCGGUGGAGCGGUGAAAUGUGUAGAGAUCGGAAGGAACGCCAGCAGCGAAAGCGGCACACUGGGCCUUUUCUGACACUGAGGCACGAAAGCUAGGGGAGUGAACGGG
rnacentral:rRNA from 1 species